AAUGAGGAGCGGGAUUGUUGUGGCCUAGCGAUGGCGGCGGCUGUCUGCCCGAUCCGAGAGGAGCCCAGCCGCAGAGCCCAGGCCCCGGCGGGUUUGUGGUGUCCCUCCUGCUGAGGCCGCCGAGUCCCCUGUCAUCAUUGCGCUUCCCCCGAGCUCCAUGAGGAAACCGUGGAUAUUUGACAUUAUCCCAGUUGUGUAAGGUGCUUUGAUCAUGAACAUCGAUCUCUGGAAAAUUAUUUUGGUGGCUAAGCAGGAGAAGCACAAAAAACUAUUUCUCAAUUAUAAGAACUUGUGCAGAUUUCCUCAUGAAUUACUGAAAGGUGGUGGCUCAGAAUACUUGGAACACCUUUACAUGAAGAUGAAUUUAUUAACAACUUUGCCAGACAACCUUGGGGAGAAACUUCCAAAUCUCACUGAAUUAUACUUACAUUCAAAUAACAUUGCAGUCAUUCCUGAAGCAAUUGGCACUUUGGUUAAACUUCAGUCAUUGGAUCUUAGUAAUAAUGUGUUGGCAAUUCUCUGCCCUGAGAUUGGACAGUUGAAAUCCUUACGACACCUGCGAUUGGCCAACAACCAGCUGAAAUUCCUUCCAUCAGAAAUUGGAGAUCUAAGAGAGCUGCAAACUCUCGACAUCUCAACCAAUUGCUUGACGGCGUUGCCAGAGAGUCUUCAUUUAUGCUUCGCCCUGCAAUAUUUGGCAGCUGACCGAAACCACCUUACGAAUCUGCCAAGACAGCUUUGUAUGCUUCCAAACUUGAAUGAACUCUCUGUGACGAGCAAUAGUUUAAAAUGUUUACCACAAGACCUAGGGCGAUAUCCAGAACUACAAUACGUGUAUGUAGAUAACAACUUUCAGCUAUAUGGACUACCAUCGUACCUAUACAACAAAGUUAUUGGUCACAGUGGUUGUGGUUCCUCUUUGAAAAAUGAAGAAGUGAAACUUUCAUUCACCCACAGACAGCUGACCAUUACUGUACCUGAUGAAAUCCAGACAAUAGGAACAGAAAAUGAUACUGUCGCACCACUUCAAGAAAUGGUUAUGAGGACCAUCUACAAAUUUUACCACACGUCUAAGAAAGGUCUGGAUCUCCUAUCCCCAAACUCAUUACCUAGGAAUCUGUGCAAGUUACUAUUCUACCCUCUGGGACAUUGUCAUCACUGCAGCCAGCCAAUGUUUACUAUCGUCUAUCCUAAGUGUUUCCCUUUGACAGAGACCCCAAUGGCUGCCUUGUAUAAUGGGAGGACGAAAAUGAGCUUUGUAGCAUACUGCUGCUCCAUCAAAUGUCUGCAGGUUUUUGACUUGCUUAGCUGAUAGAUCUCAUGACAAGGAAUAACUUGGUGGACACGUUGGGAAGUGGGAAGGCUGCGUUGAAUGGCAAGGUUCUGAAAGAGAUUCUGUUGGUUAACUUUCAUCCCACCUCGGAAUAUAGUUGCAAGCUUACAACAAACUGAGGUGAUAAAUGAGUCCAAGUCAAUGUGUUUGUUGAUGGAGUUCCGGUUGGUGUGGUGUGCUAUGGUGAGGAAAUGUCUGAAAAAGAACCUUCCAGCACAGCGAGCAAACCUACACCCAGAACCUCAACCUGAGCUACAAAUCUUCUCAAAACUCACUAAAGUUAGUAACUGUAUAACUACUUGUUUCUUCAUUGUGAUGCAGGAUUUUUCAAUAAAUUGUUGUAAUGUUGCGGUUUUCACACUGUGCAUUCUGUUUGCAGCUUUUUGUAUUAUCAGUUAACAAUGUGUUAAUAUUCUUUAAAUUAUAAGAUAUUACUGUGAUAUUUCUCAUCAAGCUUUUUAAAAUUGAAGUUGUGUUCACCAUGUACAGAAGUACAGGGCAAAUGGUAUUAGGCUUCACAGCCAACUCAGACGUGACUGUGCUUUCAGUGGUAUUUUGUUUUCAAAAUCUCACUGAUAUCAUUGACAUUUAUCUCUGCCUGACAUUUUAAUAGAUUUUAGAUGUUAAAAUAUCUAUAUAUAAUUUUGUGGCAAGAAGAAUCUUAACUCUGAUACCUGCCUUGCCCUGUCAUUAACUUAAAACUCAUUGUUUUGCUGCCCUGCCCAUGAUACACAUUGGACUAAUCAUCAGGCAUAGGAACAACCCUCGUCAUGAUCCAUGCUCAUUAUAAACCGAAACAAAUUGUAUAUUUUGCAUUUUAAUAUUAACAAUAACUGUAUUGAAAUGUUGAUCAGUAGUUGAAGAGUCUGCCCUGUUAAAAUAUAAAUUUUAUCUUUUUUUGUGUCGAUGCACAAAGCCGGCUGCCUAGGCAAUUGUCAUAACGUUCUUGUGAUUAAUCUUUUCUGCUGUUUUACUUUAUUGAUCCAGAGGUUAAUCUGUUGUACAAUAACAGCUUAAUUGAUAGUCAUUAUAUGAUAUGUAUCUGUACAUACUGAAAUGUCAUAUAAGCUCAGAAGAUGUAAAGGUCUUUACUUGUCUGCAUUAGGCCUCCAUUAUUUCUUCGUUUUUAUAUUCUUUAAAGCUGUGAGGAGACAUUUUGUUUGGGGUCCUCUGAUCAAUGAUCUUGAAUAGUCUAUGGUGUUAUACUCCUGAUGUCUGGUUGAUAAAGGAAGUUUCGAGCCAGUCUUUACUUGGGAUAGAUUUAUUCAGAGUGCAGUAUUGAAACUGUGUCUCCUGACUCCACUCAACACUUGUCAGUAUGUUUCUCUUUGGAAGUAUUUUUAAACAGCCUUUUCUGGCUUGUUAUGACACACCUCCCAAAUGGAUAGGGCUUGGUCAUGGGCCCUCUGGCUCAGGUGUAGGGGCAGUAACCACUACCACUACAAGAACGCCUCAGUGGUUUUAACAUUGUCAAGUAACUGUUCAAUUCAUUCCCUCCACCCUCUAGCAAUUACACUGAUAGGACUAGCAAGGAGGUUCUACUAAAAAAGCACAGGAACUAAGUUAAAAAGCACAACCUGCAAGGUAAUGAUCUCAGGAUUACUGCCUAGGCCCUGGGCAAUGUAGCAUAAGGUAGAUAAAGUCAAGGGGUGAAACUUGCAGCUCAAAGAUUAGUGUGGGAGGAAUGGGUCCUGGAAUCAGUACUGGGGUUGAAGAGGUUUCAGUGGGAUUGACUUCUCUUGAACUGUUCUGGGACCAGUGUCCUGAUGAUUGGAUUAACUAGGACUGCAGAGAAAGCAAAAGUAAUUUUUUUUGCAGUGGAACGUGUCUGUGUUCUGGAGUGGUGGUACGUAGGCUUACAAAACAAAAAGAAAUGGCAGCAUUACAGCGCAGCUAUUUAGGUAUUGACACACAAGCUAACAAGGGCAUGAUGUAUAAAGAUUAAGAAAAGAAAAUAAGGUCAAAAACAGUGGAAAAAAAUUAAGACAAAAUUAAUUAUCCUGUAUGUAAAUGCACAUUGGUCAGAACAAAACAAAUGAAUUAUUGGGUGCAAGUCCAGUGUAGCACGUGUGAUCAUAUUGCCAUUAUGGAGACACUGUUAAUGAAAUAUUCAGGGUUAUGUGACUUUUUGAAAGGACAUGGUGGUGGGGCAAUCCAAGUGGAAUGAUGGUGUACAAGGUGGAAGUAGUAUGAAUGCAAGAAAUAAUAUUGGACCAGAUGUAUAGCGUCCAUGUGGACAGAGUAAGGAAACUAAGACGACGACACUUAGUAAUGGUCUAACAGCAGCUUUACAGUUAAAAAUCAGCAGAUAAGAAAGGCAUUUUAAAAGGAUAUUGUAUUAAUUAUGGGUGAGUUUAAAUUUCAUAUGGAUUUAGAAAAGGUAAAAUAGCAAAUAUAGAAAUGAGUUAGUAUUAAUAGUUUAGUAGGGCAGUUCCUCAGAACAUGGUGAUGUGGAUCCAAGCAGGGAUCAGGCUGUUAUGGUUAUGUUAAUGUCUAAUGCAGCAGGUUUAAUAAAUGAUCUCAAAGUAAAAUAUCUCUUAGGAAACAGUGACCAUUGCAUGGCAGAAUUCAGCAUCAGUUUGAGAGCAAGAAACAUGGGUUGGAAAUAACUGUGCUUAAAUAAGAAUUAUUACAAACAGUUGAGGCAGAGCUGACUGGUGUUGGCUGGAAAGGAGGUGGUUGCUGAACAGUCGCAGAUGUUUAAGCCAAUAGAUCAUGACUCACAACAAAGACAUAUUCCAGUGCUUAAGAAUAAUUCUAGGAAAGGAUAAGCCAAACAUGGUUGACCAGGGAAUUAUGCAUAGCAUCAAAUUGGGAAACAAAAUGUCAAAGAUAAAAACAUCUAAUAGAAAAAACUUUGAAGGAAAGCUAGCAAGUAAUAUUUUUUUUCAGACUAGGAUGAAUGUAAGCCCUCAAAAAUUGAGAGAGGUGCUGGCGAAAUAAUAAUUGGUAAUGAGGCAAAGUUAAAAAUCUCACAACACCAGGUUAUAGUCCAACAGGUUUAUUUGGAA